rnacentral:rRNA from 1 species
GAGUUUGAUUAUUGGCUCAGGACGAACGCCUGGCGGCGUGCUUAACACAUGCAAGUUCAACGAUGAAACCUAGCUUGCUAGGUGGAUUAGUGGCGAACGGGUGAGUAAUACGUGAGUAACCUACCUUUAACUCUGGGAUAAGCCCGGGAAAACUGGGUCUAAUACCGGAAUACCACCAAUCUCCGCAUGGGGUGUUGGUGGAAAAGCGUUAUGUAGUGGUUAUAGAUGGGCUCACGGCCUAUCAGCUUGUUGGUGAGGUAACGGCUCACCAAGGCGAACGACGGGUAGCCGGCCUGAGAGGGUGACCGGCCACACUGGGACUGAGACACGGCCCAGACUCCUACGGGAGGCAGCAGUGGGGAAUAUUGCACAAUGGGCGCAAGCCUGAUGCAGCGACGCCGCGUGAGGGAUGACGGCCUUCGGGUUGUAAACCUCUGUUAGCAGGGAAGAAAAGAGAUUGACGGUACCUGCAGAGAAAGCGCCGGCUAACUACGUGCCAGCAGCCGCGGUAAUACGUAGGGCGCGAGCGUUGUCCGGAAUUAUUGGGCGUAAAGAGCUUGUAGGCGGUUUGUCGCGUCUGCUGUGAAAGGCCGGGGCUUAACCCCGUGUAUUGCAGUGGGUACGGGCAGACUAGAGUGCAGUAGGGGAGACUGGAAUUCCUGGUGUAGCGGUGGAAUGCGCAGAUAUCAGGAGGAACACCGAUGGCGAAGGCAGGUCUCUGGGCUGUAACUGACGCUGAGAAGCGAAAGCAUGGGGAGCGAACAGGAUUAGAUACCCUGGUAGUCCAUGCCGUAAACGUUGGGCACUAGGUGUGGGGGACAUUCCACGUUUUCCGCGCCGUAGCUAACGCAUUAAGUGCCCCGCCUGGGGAGUACGGCCGCAAGGCUAAAACUCAAAGAAAUUGACGGGGGCCCGCACAAGCGGCGGAGCAUGCGGAUUAAUUCGAUGCAACGCGAAGAACCUUACCAAGGCUUGACAUAUACUGGACCGCAUCAGAGAUGGUGUUUCCCUUCGGGGCUGGUAUACAGGUGGUGCAUGGUUGUCGUCAGCUCGUGUCGUGAGAUGUUGGGUUAAGUCCCGCAACGAGCGCAACCCUCGUUCUAUGUUGCCAGCACGUUAUGGUGGGGACUCAUAGGAGACUGCCGGGGUCAACUCGGAGGAAGGUGGGGAUGACGUCAAAUCAUCAUGCCCCUUAUGUCUUGGGCUUCACGCAUGCUACAAUGGCCGGUACAGAGGGUUGCGAUACUGUGAGGUGGAGCUAAUCCCUAAAAGCCGGUCUCAGUUCGGAUUGGGGUCUGCAACUCGACCCCAUGAAGUCGGAGUCGCUAGUAAUCGCAGAUCAGCAACGCUGCGGUGAAUACGUUCCCGGGCCUUGUACACACCGCCCGUCA